rnacentral:rRNA from 1 species
GGUUAAGCGACUAAGCGUACACGGUGGAUGCCCUGGCAGUCAGAGGCGAUGAAGGACGUGCUAAUCUGCGAUAAGCGUCGGUAAGGUGAUAUGAACCGUUAUAACCGGCGAUUUCCGAAUGGGGAAACCCAGUGUGAUUCGUCACACUAUCAUUAACUGAAUCCAUAGGUUAAUGAGGCGAACCGGGGGAACUGAAACAUCUAAGUACCCCGAGGAAAAGAAAUCAACCGAGAUUCCCCCAGUAGCGGCGAGCGAACGGGGAGGAGCCCAGAGCCUGAAUCAGUGUGUGUGUUAGUGGAAGCGUCUGGAAAGGCGCGCGAUACAGGGUGACAGCCCCGUACACAAAAAUGCACAUACUGUGAGCUCGAUGAGUAGGGCGGGACACGUGGUAUCCUGUCUGAAUAUGGGGGGACCAUCCUCCAAGGCUAAAUACUCCUGACUGACCGAUAGUGAACCAGUACCGUGAGGGAAAGGCGAAAAGAACCCCGGCGAGGGGAGUGAAAAAGAACCUGAAACCGUGUACGUACAAGCAGUGGGAGCCUCUUUAUGGGGUGACUGCGUACCUUUUGUAUAAUGGGUCAGCGACUUAUAUUCUGUAGCAAGGUUAACCGAAUAGGGGAGCCGAAGGGAAACCGAGUCUUAACUGGGCGUUAAGUUGCAGGGUAUAGACCCGAAACCCGGUGAUCUAGCCAUGGGCAGGUUGAAGGUUGGGUAACACUAACUGGAGGACCGAACCGACUAAUGUUGAAAAAUUAGCGGAUGACUUGUGGCUGGGGGUGAAAGGCCAAUCAAACCGGGAGAUAGCUGGUUCUCCCCGAAAGCUAUUUAGGUAGCGCCUCGUGAAUUCAUCUCCGGGGGUAGAGCACUGUUUCGGCAAGGGGGUCAUCCCGACUUACCAACCCGAUGCAAACUGCGAAUACCGGAGAAUGUUAUCACGGGAGACACACGGCGGGUGCUAACGUCCGUCGUGAAGAGGGAAACAACCCAGACCGCCAGCUAAGGUCCCAAAGUCAUGGUUAAGUGGGAAACGAUGUGGGAAGGCCCAGACAGCCAGGAUGUUGGCUUAGAAGCAGCCAUCAUUUAAAGAAAGCGUAAUAGCUCACUGGUCGAGUCGGCCUGCGCGGAAGAUGUAACGGGGCUAAACCAUGCACCGAAGCUGCGGCAGCGACACUAUGUGUUGUUGGGUAGGGGAGCGUUCUGUAAGCCUGUGAAGGUGUACUGUGAGGUAUGCUGGAGGUAUCAGAAGUGCGAAUGCUGACAUAAGUAACGAUAAAGCGGGUGAAAAGCCCGCUCGCCGGAAGACCAAGGGUUCCUGUCCAACGUUAAUCGGGGCAGGGUGAGUCGACCCCUAAGGCGAGGCCGAAAGGCGUAGUCGAUGGGAAACAGGUUAAUAUUCCUGUACUUGGUGUUACUGCGAAGGGGGGACGGAGAAGGCUAUGUUGGCCGGGCGACGGUUGUCCCGGUUUAAGCGUGUAGGCUGAUUUUCCGUGCAAAUCCGGAAAAUCAAGGCUGAGGCGUGAUGACGAGGCACUACGGUGCUGAAGCAACAAAUGCCCUGCUUCCAGGAAAAGCCUCUAAGCAUCAGGUAACAUCAAAUCGUACCCCAAACCGACACAGGUGGUCAGGUAGAGAAUACCAAGGCGCUUGAGAGAACUCGGGUGAAGGAACUAGGCAAAAUGGUGCCGUAACUUCGGGAGAAGGCACGCUGAUAUGUAGGUGAAGCGACUUGCUCGUGGAGCUGAAAUCAGUCGAAGAUACCAGCUGGCUGCAACUGUUUAUUAAAAACACAGCACUGUGCAAACACGAAAGUGGACGUAUACGGUGUGACGCCUGCCCGGUGCCGGAAGGUUAAUUGAUGGGGUUAGCGGUAACGCGAAGCUCUUGAUCGAAGCCCCGGUAAACGGCGGCCGUAACUAUAACGGUCCUAAGGUAGCGAAAUUCCUUGUCGGGUAAGUUCCGACCUGCACGAAUGGCGUAAUGAUGGCCAGGCUGUCUCCACCCGAGACUCAGUGAAAUUGAACUCGCUGUGAAGAUGCAGUGUACCCGCGGCAAGACGGAAAGACCCCGUGAACCUUUACUAUAGCUUGACACUGAACAUUGAGCCUUGAUGUGUAGGAUAGGUGGGAGGCUUUGAAGUGUGGACGCCAGUCUGCAUGGAGCCGACCUUGAAAUACCACCCUUUAAUGUUUGAUGUUCUAACGUUGGCCCCUGAUCGGGGUUGCGGACAGUGUCUGGUGGGUAGUUUGACUGGGGCGGUCUCCUCCUAAAGAGUAACGGAGGAGCACGAAGGUUGGCUAAUCCUGGUCGGACAUCAGGAGGUUAGUGCAAUGGCAUAAGCCAGCUUGACUGCGAGCGUGACGGCGCGAGCAGGUGCGAAAGCAGGUCAUAGUGAUCCGGUGGUUCUGAAUGGAAGGGCCAUCGCUCAACGGAUAAAAGGUACUCCGGGGAUAACAGGCUGAUACCGCCCAAGAGUUCAUAUCGACGGCGGUGUUUGGCACCUCGAUGUCGGCUCAUCACAUCCUCGGGGCUGAAGUAGGUCCCAAGGGUAUGGCUGUUCGCCAUUUAAAGUGGUACGCGAGCUGGGUUUAGAACGUCGUGAGACAGUUCGGUCCCUAUCUGCCGUGGGCGCUGGAGAACUGAGGGGGGCUGCUCCUAGUACGAGAGGACCGGAGUGGACGCAUCACUGGUGUUCGGGUUGUCAUGCCAAUGGCACUGCCCGGUAGCUAAAUGCGGAAGAGAUAAGUGCUGAAAGCAUCUAAGCACGAAACUUGCCCCGAGAUGAGUUCUCCCUGACUCCUUGAGAGUCCUGAAGGAACGUUGAAGACGACGACGUUGAUAGGCCGGGUGUGUAAGCGCAGCGAUGCGUUGAGCUAACCGGUACUAAUGAACCGUGAGGCUUAACCUU